rnacentral:rRNA from 1 species
AUUGAACGCUGGCGGCAGGCUUAACACAUGCAAGUCGAGCGAGCGGCGGACGGGUGAGUAAUGUCUGGGAAACUGCCUGAUGGAGGGGGAUAACUACUGGAAACGGUAGCUACUACCGCAUACCAUCAGAUGUUGCCAGAUGGGAUUGGCUUGGAGGUGGGGUAAUGGCUCACCUAGGCGACGAUCCCUUGCUGGUCUGAGAGGAGGACUAGCCACACUGGAACUGAGCCACGGUCCAGACUCCGACGGGAGGCAGCAGUGGGGAAUAUUGCACAAUGGGCGCAAGCCUGAUGCAGCCAUGCCGCGUGUGUGAAGAAGGCCUUCGGGUUGUAAAGCACUGUCAGCUAGGAGGCGGUACUCGCAGAAGAAGCACCGGCUAACUCCGUGCCAGCAGCCGCGGUAAUUC